rnacentral:lncRNA from 1 species
GAUGCCACCACAGCAUGGCUUGAUGAGUGGUGUAAAGGUCCGUACCCAGCAUCCAAACCUCCGAACCCUGGGCUGCUGAAGCGGAGCACACCAACUUAACCACUACGCAAUGAGGCCAGCCCCUAGUUUUUAGUUUUUUUUUUUUUUAUUAAGGUUAUGAAAGUUAACAUCCUUGUGAAAUUACAGUUGUGCAUCAUUAUUGGUCAUGUUGUGGGUACACCACUUCACCCCUAGUGCCCUCCCCCCACCCCUCUGUGUUUAUUUUUUUUAAAUCACUAUUACACAAGUUGCAUUUUACUAACCAUGUUUGUAAUUCGUUGGCAGAUUUCUGACUUAGGGACAGGUUUUUCAACAUUGCACAUUAGAGUCACCUGGAGAACCCUUGAAAAAAUACCGAUGACUGGCUCCUGCCCACAGAGAUUCUGGUUUCGUUAUUCUGAGGCGGGGCCUAGGUCUGCUUGUUGUUGUACUGUGCAAACAGACCUGAGAAGCACUGGCCCAUAGUAACAUUUAGAAAAGACUCAGUGGUCCCUUUGCCUCCCCUCUCCCUGGGCUUCCAACCUGAACUCAGCUUUCUAGAUCUUUCCAUUCCAAUGGCUGGGAAAGGCAGAUCCAAGGAAAGGAAUGGAAUGGCUUUGCGGCUGGAGACCUAAAGAGGAGAUAUUAAAGCUGUAGGCCACACAGCAUCCAGGGCAAGACUCCUCCCAAGCUCGAGGCGUUCCCAGGCCUGUUUUACCACCGGCCCAUGCGAGAAGAGUACUCUUCACUGGAGAGCCAAUCCGGGGGGUGGAAGACUGAAAGGGGUCUGGCUGUGACCUGCCAGAGGCCCCACUCCUGGCUCCUUGACCCAGUGAACAAAGCUCCUUCCUGUUGGUUGGUAAGGUAUACUUCUAACCCUAACGUUCAAGAAAUUACCUACACAAAGUUGAAGGUGAGUCUUAGAAUUUUAUGCGUAGGUGAGCUUUGAAGAGCCCCUGCCCUUAUUUGAGAGUAAAUAAGCUAAGGUGGCCAAGCCACUGUGAAACCUGUGAUCACAAGGGUAAGUAGACAGUUGCUGGCAGAGCUGGGAGUGGCUCCUGUAUAUAGGUCAUCAGGUUGCAGUGUUGUACCUUACUCACUAGAUCAUGCUGUUCAAAGUUCUGCCUAUAACAGCUUCCCAACUUGUUCUAUGGCACAACCAGAGACACUCACAACUAGAAUAUACAACUGUGUACUGGGGGGCUUUGGGAAGAAGAAAAAAAAAAACUUGUUAUAUAAACCUACAAUUUUUUAAAAAAUUCUUAGUUUUAAUAACCUCUGUAUUCCAACUCUUAAAAAUUAUUCUAGAGAACCAGAUUCAAACCUGCAGAACAAGAAUGUAACUUGUUAUAAAGUUAGUUGAAGGAAAAACAUUUUACAUACGUUAUUUGAUAGAGAUUAGUACAUACCACAAGACUAUAUUCACGUGAAUGAAAAUCAUUUAGAUAUCUCCUUCUGCAGUUUAUUAGGAUAUGGAGUUGGAGUUAUUUAUUCCUUUCAAGUUAUAGUUUAUGACAACAUCAACUUUAUUUUGUUGGAAAGCGUACAAACAUAGCAACUGGGGAGCGGUUUCCCUGCGAAGCUUCAAGGAUGUGCAUUUAAUUGAGUCAUUUGUCUUAAAAAUUUUAAUAUCUGCGAGAUAGUUUGAAGUCACUAUCUCUGCAUUUUAUAAAAAUACAUAUCUUUAACCAUUUCUUAAGCAGCUGGUUGCUAAGACCCAAAAUGUGCUAAACCCUUUGUAUGGCCCCUCUGCAGUUCCGGGAGAGAUCGGCAGAGACUGUGGGUGUCUAUGGAGUGGUUCCAUGUGGUUAUGCUGUUUAGACUUCGUCAUCAAGAUACCCAUACCGGCAGGGGCCGGCCCUGUGGCGCAGCGGUUAAGUGCACACGUUCUGCUUCUCAGCAGCCUGGAGUUCGCCGGUUCGGAUCCCGGGUGCGGACAUGACACCGCUUGGCAAAAGCCAUGCUGUGGCAGGCAUCCCACAUAUAAAGUAGAGGAAGAUGGGCAUGGAUGUUAGCUCAGGGCCAGUCUUCCUCAGCAAAAAGAGGAGGAUUGGCGGCAGAUGUUCUCUUAGGGCUAAUCUUCCUCAAAAAAGAAAAAAAAAAAAGUGGGAACCUGGGAGUAAUUUCCACAGAGAUGAUAGCUGAAGACAGUGAAUGUGGUAACCAAAGACAGAGUGUCAACGGAUUUGUAUUUGAGAUACAAUGGGAGAAAAACAUCGAGGAGAAGAAGCUGCCAAACCUGGAGUCAGGCUGAACCUUUCCAUAGCUGUGAGACUUUGGGCAGCUAACUUAAUCUUCUGAGCCUAAGGUUGUUCCCAUGUGGAAUGGGAAGUAAUGUAUAUGAAGCCUAGCGAUGGUUAGUUCCUCUCCCUUUUCAAAGAAGAAAGAAUUAGUAAAACGAGUACCCCAGGGACCUUGGAAAGAGAUUUCAAGAAGGAAAUGGUCAAGAAUGGGGUCAUGGGCAAUAGGAAUCAGAAGAGUCUGGGAAUUCUGGAGCCGACAUACUCCCUGCAGUGCCACCAGCGUUGUUGGCUCUCAGUCCCCUGUGAAUUGUCUCCGAUAAUGAUAGGUGAAGCAGCAGCUGUGAAGACUGCAGCUUCUCUGUGAAUAUCCGUCUUGUUUUACAUUAUAAUGUGUUUUCUUCAGUGAAGGAGAAAGGGUGGGACUUCAGAUAGAGCCAGAAAUUGCUGCUGACCCUGAGAGUGCCCGUUUAGCUCUUAUGCCAGAAAAACGUUUUAAGAAUGGCCACUCCUAGGAAGCCAGUUCAGGAGAGUGGAAGGAGCAGAAAUCAGAUUAUUUGGGUUUAACGAGCAUGUGAAGAAAAAUUGAAAGCUAUGGGUACAGACAUUUUGAAACUGCAACAUUGAUGCAUUUUCCACUCAAGGUCCCAGUAAUCCUAGACCAAAAAGAAUUCUGACUUGAAUUUCUCUAAAUGAUGUAGGGUACUCGCUCAUUACCCAACCUUCCAGUCUUCUGACUUUAUUCCAGACCAACCUCCUUACCCUACGAGCGGCAUCCAGUAAGGGUUGUGGGCUCCGCAGGCCUGCCUACCAUCUGCGCCUUUUCAUUUUGUUCUCUCUUUGCUUAUUUUAUUCCCUGCUCGCUCUCUCUAUAUUGACCUGGAGUGUAACCUGACUUUGGCUUCUCUGUCUGACCCCAUGUUCCUCAUCAUUACUCAAAGUCCAGUAAAAGACAGUCCUUUCUUUUCUCAUUUCAUUCGACCUUCUCUCCCACCCACCCCACCCCAUGCCUCCUUCUCUCCAGACCGCUCUCUUCUCCAAAUGGAACCAGAGCUUCCUGGCUCCAGGGCUGUUUGUUUGGUUUGAAAGUUCCUGGCCCUCCCUCUGGCUUCAUUUUCUUUGCCUAUUGGGAUUCUCUGCCCUUCAGCCCUCAACUCACAUUCAGUCCAGGACCUCUCCAGAGCUCUGUGUACUUAGAUUAUCUGCAGCAUUUUGUCAGGCCAUGUCUGCCAGUCAUUUCCAGCUGUCUAAGCGCCUGGACUUGGCAUGCCUCAGCAGUCAUUUCUCUGCCCUUUUCUCUUUUCACCCCUCCUUGCCCUCCAGCGCUUUCACAUAAUAGUCACUCAGUAAAUGUCUUUUAUUGAUAGUCGAGAAGAAACUCAUUAAUUCUGGUUCAGAUGUCAUGUAACACUUUUCACCUGCUCAUUGUGUUGGCAAUGCAUUUGAUAUUUCAUUUCCCCCCUCUGCUUAACAAACGGGUUUCUCUGUGUGUGAGUAAAAUACUAAAUUUUUGUUUCACUCUUCUGGAGUCUUCUAGUUUUUUGUUUGUUUGUUUUUUACUUUGAGAAGCCAAUGGUUAUUGGAAGGAAUCAAGGUGACCGUGGUAAAGCCUCUCACCAGUGCUUUAUAAGCCUGUUGGUUCUUGUUGUGUUUUAUUUUUUUAAGGUAGCAUAUUGCUUUUCAAAUCAUAAAAAUAGUACAUAUUUACUCUAGAUGACAGAAACAGAAAUGAAUAACAGCACUCGUAGGUAUAUACCCAGGAGAAUUGGGAACAGGGAACAUACGGUCACACAAAACUUUGUACAUGAGUGUUCCUAGCAGCAUUACUCAUAAUAGUCAAAAGGUUGAAACAGCCCAAAUGUCCAUCAACUGAUGGAUGAAUAAACAAAAUUGGGUAUGGCCAUACAAUGGAAUAUUAUUCAGCCCUAAAAAAGUGUUGAAUACAUGCCACAACACAACCUUGAAAACACUAUGCUAAGUGAAAGAAACCAGAUACAAAAGACCACAUAGCGUAUAUUUCCAUCUGUAUGAAAUGUCUAGAAUAGGCAAAUCCAUGGAGAUAGAAAGUAGAUUCGUGGUUGCCAGGGGCUGGGGGAUGGGAGGAAUGAGGAGUGACUCCCAGCAGAUGCAGGGUUUCUUUUUUGGGGUGGUGAAAAUGUUUUGCAAUUAGGCAGUGGUGAUGGUUGCACAACCUCACGAAUUUACUAAAAAUCACUGAGUUGUACACUUUAGGUGAAUUUUAUGGUUGUGAAUUAUAUUUCAAUUUUUAAAAUAAAGGAAAAAUAAAAAUCACUGGUAGUGUAUUAUUUCCUUUCAGUGUUCUGACACGUGUUACUGAAACGCUUUCCAAAGAGGGCGUGUGUAACUGUUCACUGUUUGGCAUCCUUGCUAGAAUUCAGAAUUGCUAUUUUCUAAAUCUUUCUAAAUUUGACAGAUGAAAAUAUUGUACCUCAUCGUUUAAAUAUAUGGAUUUUUGUAAUGACUGGUGAGAUUAUUUUCAUGUGUAUGAUUUUUAGCCAUUGGAAUUUCUUCCAUUUCUUAAUCUUAUUUAAAUGAUGGUCUUAAUGGCUUUCUUAUAGCUUAUUCCACAUCUCUUUUCUUUUUAAACAUAGAAAAACAGUUCAUGUUCCCAAACAGAAUGCUGCUAAAGUGUCUGCAUUUAGGAUAAUGUUUCCCCAAGGCGUGAAAAUAAUUGAUUAGCGUUUGUGCAACUAAAUAGCGCACACAAGUGUGCAGAUCAAAGAUCAGUUUUCCCAAAUGUCAUUUCCCCCCUUUUAGCACAAAACCAUUUUCAGCUUUGAAGUAAUAGUAUUUUCCGCGUCUGUGUGUAUUUACAUUCCAGAAAUAAAGCUCACUUGGCAUUUGGGUACUGUUUUUUUCAAAACAGUUCUGAACUUCAUUUGCUAGUAUUUUAUAAAAUAUUUUCUAGGCUUUAGAGUGAGGUUAUGUUAACAGUGCAAAGUCAAUUGGGCUUUUUUUUUUUUUUUUUUUUAAUCUAUGCUCUAGAAGAAAUUUAUUUAGCAGGGAAUUAUCUGUUCCUUGAAAGUUUGAAAGAAUUUAUCCACAACACCUUAGGGGCCUGGCACUUCAAUAACAUUUUCAAGUUUCUUUCAUCAAUAAUAAUCAGUUGAUAUUUCCUACUCUUUUGAAGUCAGUUUUAGUCAUUUACACCAUAGAGAUGCACAUAGCAUCUUCAUAAUUCUUUGCAAACUCUUUCUGGCCACGUAUGCUGUUGGGCAGAUUUGCUGCCCCUGUGCCGAUUGAACUUGCGCCUCUGUGAUCUGAGAGCAGAGCUGCAGGCAAGGCCAUCCCCUCCCGUGGCCCCCAGGAUCCUCUUACUAUAAAGAAAACCUCACCCUGUUCCUCCUCCUCUUAAAGCACUUUAAUGGCUCGAUGUUACCUUCAGGAUAAAGCCCAAGCUUUUCUCAUGGCAGAGAGGCCAUUUUAGGUUAGGUCCCUGGCGACCCCUCCAGCCUCAACCCUCACCACUUGCCCUAACCACUCACGCAAAGUCUCCUGUAGUGAACUUCCUGCCAUUUCCCAGAUGUCUGCCCUUCCCUGCUCUGGGCCUUUGUGCAUGCUGCUUCCUCAACUGAGUGCCCCGUCCGUCUAACUAACCCCCACCCCACCCUUGGGACUCCACUCAGACGCCAACUCCUCCGUGACUUAUCUUCCCACGGGUUGUGUACCCCUGGGCCUGUGCCUCCACAGCCACACCCCUCACUCCUGCCCUAGCAUUCAACACUAAUUAUUUUAAUUGCCCCUUUCGUUGUUUGUGUUCAUCAUUAGAUUGGGAAUGUUGAGGGCAGGGAGGGUCAGUAACACUCAAUCUUGUAUCCCAAGCAGCUACCUUAGGACCUGAUGUGAAGUCCAUUGUAUUGAAUGAAUCAAUGAACAAAUAAAGAUAAGCAUGCCUUUAUCACUAAUCUUAUGCCUACAGCUAAUCAUGCAAGCGUCAAGAGUGUAGACUGAAGCCAGACUGCUUGAGUUCACUUUCCAGCAUCACCAUUUGCUUUCUGUACCUCUCUGUGCCUCAGUGGACACCCAUGUUAGCUACUUCUCAAGGUCAAGGACAUGAUGCUGGCAUUCGAUGACAUCAAACUAAUAGGACUUGGAGGCAGGACAUAGCAGGUGCUGUAGACACCUUGGAUAAGAUACAUAUGUGCCCAAAGUGAGAGAUGUAGCCCAUGGAAGUAUAAAGGGCUGCCACCUCAUUAAAGUAUAAAUCUCUUAUAAAGUCCAAGGAUUUGGAUGUCAUCUUCAAAGGAAGAGGUCUCACGGACUCCUCUGGUUCUGAUCAAGAAACUCACUUUACAAUUUAAGAAGAAAAUGGGCUGAUGUUUAUGGUGUUUAUGGUUCAGGUGUUUCUCCAUGUAUCCUGGCAGAAGCAGGCAGCCUUAAGCAGUCCAUAGGUUACAGGAUAUAAAGACGGAAGCCAGCUGGAACUAGAGAAAGAACAUCACCGAGAGAGAUCCUGGAUGGGAAGCUGGAUGCGCUGAUGAGACCUUGCGGUGUCUCCUUUUUGGACUGAGGGUAAGCCUGUUUUCGAUAGGGGGACAGUUGCGUAAUCUCAGGCAGGAAAGUUGUUACUGGUAAGAAGUAUGCAAGAAGGGUAUAUGUUAAUGUUGGGCAAACUAAGAGUUGGCUACACUGUAGAUAUUUAUCAUGUUUUCUGGCUGCCCUGUAAAUUUUUGAGGACCCUUGCUGUAUAUGGGGAAUUUACCACCUUAUAUGUCCCACUCCCCCCAAGUAAAAGCCCAAAAAACUCUCUUUCCUGGCUUUCCUGGCAACUGUGGCAUAAACAUGUACCCAGCCAUCAGUAAAGCUUAUCCAUGAGACACUGGUUUCAAAGUGAGCAAUAUAAGGGAGCAGUAGUGCAUGGUAUAUAUAUUUUCUGUUAACGGAGUAACAGAAGUAUCUAGCAUUCGGAAUGCUCAAGACUGAGUUCUUGGUGAAGAGGUGUCACAGAUACUGGCCACAGUAGCAGUUGCAAUAAAAUUAAAUUUCUGACACAAAAGAGGCAAAGGGGAAAAUUACAGCAUUUGGUUAGUGCUUGGGGAAACAACUGGGUGAUUUUCUCAUAAGCCAGUUCUGUUUUGGGGUCCCUAGAAAUACAGAGCUUUGGCUGAUUCUCUGGUCUUGUCAAUUAGUCUGCAAACUACCCAAUAUCCAGAGACACUUUCUGUUGCUUGCAACUGGUGGACUCUGACUGAUCCAUAAAGGUACUGGUUCCAUCUGAAAGGACUGAAGGAUACGUGAAAAGAAGGAACGGAAGACAAGUCUGGAAAGUGUGACUGUGGAACCAGUGCGGGUUUCUGAGCAGGGAACUGAUAGAAUCAGACUGAUGAUUCUGGAAAAGUAAACUGGCAGUAGUAGGGAAAUUUUAUUAAGGAGGAACUUAAGAUAAUUUCCAGUUAAGGCCAAGACAAGACCCAUGAAGAGACCAUGGCACUAGUCUAGGUGGGGGCACUGAGGCUUGGACUAGAUCCGGGGUUUAGAUCACGGGCAGUGGAGGUGGAUAACAGUCUCAUUCCUGGUGUGACUGUUGACAAGGGACACAUGGCUUUCUAAUCAUAAAUUAAAUAAUUAAAAGUCACUACCAAUCAUGUUUCUGGCAUUUGACUGAAAGAAUUAUCAAGCUCAGGGGCUGGCUCCGUGGCCGAGCGGUUAAAUUCACGUGCUCCGCGCUGCGUCGGCCCAGGGUUCGGAUCCUGGGCGCGGACAUGGCACCGCUCGUCAGGCCAUGUUGAGGCGGUGUCCCACAUCCCACAACUAGAAGGACCUGCAACUAAGAUAUACAACUAUGUACCGGGGGCAGGGGGUGGGAAAUAAAGCAGAAAAAAAGGAAAAAACAAAAGAUUGGCAACAGUUGUUAGCCCAGGUGCCAAUCCUUAAAAAAAAAAAAAAGAAUUAUCAAGCUCAAAUCUGCCCAGAUGUCACAUGACAGUAUCUUCUGGGUGUGGAUUCCAGCUUGACUGAUGCUCCCUGAACUUCCCUCUUUGUGAGGUCCUCAAAAAUUGCUCUUCUGCAAAAGCACAUACUUUUAUAAAAACAUUUCUGAGGAGCAGCGUCUUACGCAGUGUUUAGUGGAAAAGAGAAGUAACAAUUGACUAUCUGAUCAAGUGUCAGAUCCAUAAGCCCAUUUAUUCCUUCUAAGAACUUUAUGAGGUUGGAAUGAUUAUAUUCAUUUUACAGGUGAUAAGAGCAACCCGCGAUUCUCACAAGUCAAUUCGUCAAUUCCCUGCUGUUUUCAGAGUUCCCACCUGCCAGACGAAUUUAGCUCCCGUUGGCCUGGUUGGGGCCCCAGUUCUCUUUUUGCUCCAUAUCAAGAGGCUCACAGAAAACUUAGCAAUGCUGCAGGCAUAGAGAGAACCACCACAUCUUUGUCACUUGCAGCCUAGGACCACUGGGACCUAAAAGGAAAAGCAAGGGAAGUGGCUGGGUGAGGGGAGUGAGGUUAAAGACAACCAAUCUCAUUUGCAGAGUUUACAAAUAUGGUUCCCACUUGUUUUCUCACUGAACGAAAUCUUCACAAGGACUCUCUGCGGUAGGUAUCAUUAGGCCCACUUUAAAGAUGGAGAAACUGAGACUCAGAAGUAGACUCCUGUGUGUACAGUUAUGCAACUAGUAACCAGCAGAGCCAAGGUCUGAGUUCAAAUCCUCUGACUUCCAAACCAGGGCAUUUUCCACUGCGUGGAGCCACAGAAGAAAAGGAGGGAUGGAGCAUCUUUCUGGAUAAGAGUCAGGGGUCUGGGACUUCCCGGUAGGGGGCCAGUAUCCCUGCAGGAUGUUCUUCUUUCCUCGGGUUGCUUUGGGGUCCUUAAGGCAAAUCACCCUAUUCUGUACUCAAAGCUGGUGUGGCGUGCUUUCUCAAGCAUCCAGGCCCAGGGAUGACAGUGAACUGGGAAACAAGAUGGUGCUAACUAACCAUACUCCUCCCUCUUAAGCCAAUUUCCAAAGCCGCUGAGAUAUAAUCAUAGGAGCUACACAGACCAAGAUCAAAAUACUAGCUUUGUGACUGAUAAAGGAGACCAUGGCUUCACCUCCCCAGACUUCCUACCACCUACCCCCAAAAUUGUAGUCCUCCACAUGUUCUGGAGUGUCCCGUAAGAAGCGAUUUAAUGAAAAAGAAACCGUCUUGGAAUUUUCCGCAGCCCAUGAUUUGAGAUAACUGGCGUUGUAACCAACAGCCUGUCUGGAUCAAGAAUGGACGCCUGCAGGCGACAGCUCCCUCCACAAACCUUCUUCUGAUUUCUCCAGUAGAACGACAUAGAUAGCACCUCGCUACGUCCCGUACAGAUUGCACUAAAGAACUCAAGCUGUUCACCAACUGCUCUGCCUUUCAGACGAACAACAGAGGAUGCGAGGAUUGCGACCAUGUAAUAGGAGAUGUUGGACAAAAAGUGAUUAAAAAGCAAGAUCUCAAGUUACUCCUGCCACUGAGGCAUUUAGUACUGUUGCACAGGAAAUGCCAGAGCGUUGUGCAAAUGGAGGAGCCAUUUUCAGUUCUCACCUCAAGCUGGAAGGGACUUCUCUGGCCAGAGGGCCUUUAAAACCCCUUUUUGUCACCGCAGUCUGUAAUGAAUACAGCCACUAGAAGAGAAGCCACUAGAACCACAGAGCCCAUCUCUAACCUCGGGUUAGAGAUUCGGAGUGCCAGCCCCCUCAGCUGUUCCCAGACUCAGCAUGCAAACACUGUCCCUUCAGCGUGUGCGGAAAACGACGUUUAGUAAUCAGAUCCUGUAGAAAGAGGCAGACCUCCCAGUGCAGGGCACACUGUGAGAUGGGGAGACGUGCGCUGCCUACAGAGAAUUAGACCCAACCUGCCCCUCUGCUUUAGGGCCAUCACCAGAAUCAUCUGAAGCGGAGCGGGAGCUGGGGAUCAGAACCCACCAUGGGUUGCUACGCAGUGUGUGCUAUUGCCCCCCCUUCAGUCAUUCUCAAUGCUUCAUUUUGCCAUAUUCCUAAAGUUCUGAGCUUGGAGAAUUCUAAGGCAAUAUUAGAGUCUUCUAGAAAAAUAAAGAUAUGCAUUGUCUUUUACUUCUUUCCCAUCGUUCCUGCCACACAUUACAAUAGCUCUUUAUUUAAGGGGGCAUCUAAUUUGGUGGAAAGAGCAUUUCACUUGCUGUUUUAUGUGGGACAAGGCUUCCUGUGCUUUAUUUCGUUAUCUGCAGUGCCAGUUUUUAUGGUUCUGCGGUAAAUUUACUGGCGGGGAGUGGGUAUGGGGUGGAACAGAAUAACAUGGGGUCUAGAGUGCCUAGAUGGCAGGCAGAUAGUUCGGCCAGAAAAAUAGCAAGGCCAAAAACAAAUUGUACCUUUGAGAGCCUGAAAGAGCGUGAGCUGAGUCCCCGACUGUAAUUUUAACUGUGUUGAUUGUGAGGGCAGGUGUUUGCUCUCUGAUAAUGAGUAGACUUUAAUCCUAGGUGUGAGUACAAAUCAUGUCAACAAGGGUGGCUCCGGAGAAAUUCAAAGUAAUUGCCCAAGACAUAACAUCAGCCCACAACCAAAUUCUCACACUGAAGAAUUAUGCUACUGGUGAGUAGGAAUGGCAGUCCUGAUACAGCUCAUUAGAUAACAGAAAAGGCGCUGAUUCUUCCAAGUCAACAAAUAUCUUCUGAUGCUUCAGGAGCCAGCUGAGCAAGCUAUUCCAGCCAUGGAGAGGCGUGGCUCUGGUGGUGACACGCGGUGUGGUGACACAUGGUGAACACCCAAACUCGGUCAUGCUGAUUAGUUGCGUAAUGGAUGGAUGAGUCAAAGAUCACGCUUUCUAGUUUGUCAGCUACCUGGUAGCUCCCAGGAACUUGCUCUGGUCUGUCAGUGGCUACGUGCAAGCAAUGCUGGGGCUCCUUAUGAGCCCACGGAGUCAUCAUCAGGACCUGAGUUUCAGGGGAGCAGGUAAAGAGGCAAGAUAAAAGGACUCCUGACACCCACCCUUUAAUCCAAAGAGGGAGAUUCUGUCAGGGACUGUGUUUCCGUGAGCAUCUUCAAUUUCUUCAGGGCAUAGUGAAUUUAUGACAGCCCAAGGGAAGGAGCAAAGUAAGAGUCUGAUCUAGCAAAGUCAGCUCUGGCAAGGUAGGAAACCUUACCUACAAGACACGGCUGCCACUAGCCAGUCAAUAGCACCCACAGCUGUGGUUCCAUGUUUUCUCCAGUGAGCUUCCUCCCACAAGUCCUCUGACUAUAAUAUUGGUGUCAACUGGUCACACAGCUAACCAGUAGUCCUGGAGUGGGUGGAGGGUUAGCUUUCCUCCCAAAUCAGCACAACCGAGGAGUAAUCAAGGAGUAAUAUACUCCCAGGUUUAAAUCCUAGCUAAGCUACUUAAUAAUUGGAUGACCAUGGACAGAUAAUUAAUCUCUGAGUCUCGGUUUCCUCAUCAGUAAAUUAAGGAUAAUAAUAUUGACUUUGUAGGGUUGUUUUGAAGACUGAAUUAAAUCCGGUGUAUAAAACACCUAACACAAUGCCUAGCACAGGUGGAAGCUCCAUAAAUAGUUCUCGUCUCUGGGAUUAGUGAACCUCAGAAUCGGAAAUAUGUUACAGGUCAUCCAAUAAAAUCUUCCUUCUGCUUUUCUGUUGCCGGAAUCCUCUCCUCCACCCCUAAGAUAUGUGACUAUCCAGCCUAUGCUUUGAAUCUGUCCAAGGCAAGAGAAAAUCCUCUUCAGGAGUUCUGAGGUUCUUGCUGAAAUUGAGCUGAAACACAACUCCCGGGGGCUUCUACUAUUUGAAAAAGCAACCCAUUGCCCCCAUGCAGGAGUAGCACUGCGUAUUGUGCAGACAUGAGCUGUACAGCUCUGGAUGUUGCUCUUCACAUAGACUACAGCGGAAAUGGUGCCCCCUAGAGUUGAGCAGUGCGAUAGCCCUGUCUAUGUAACAGUUGUGGGAAUAUUUGGUGUCAAUCUCAUACUCCUUUGAGUCUUUUCUCCUCCGAUGAAAACCUCCAAAUUCCUUCUAUCAUGCCUCACAUGAGAAAUUUUGUAUCUCCCAUCACUCCAGUCACUCUUCUCUGGAUGCUCAAUUAUGUAGUGUCUGGAUCUGGGCAGAAUGUUUUAGUUAUCAUCUGGCCAGUUUGAAGAAAUGAGACUCGCAUUUCACAUCUCACGCUCCCACCCCUACCCCUUCCUAUAUUUGCAUGGUUUGCUUUAUCACUUUAGUUCUCAAUCCAAGAACAGGACUUUACGUCUGCCUCUGUGAAAUUUCAUCUUUCUACGUUCAGCUCAUCAUUCCAGAUGGUGAAGACGUCUUUGUAUCAUACAACAUGCUCAUUCUCUCAUGUUGGUACAAAGAUUACUCAAGACUCACAGGACAAAUGACAGAGUUGUUUAUCCUACUCUUAGAAAAUUCCCUACAACUUGAUUGGUUUUUUUUCUUUUGAUAUUUCUUGCACUGGCCUCCAGUUAAGAUGUCUCUUUCUUGACUGCAAUCGUAUUGGGGAGACUUUGUUAAGUUUCUUGUUCAAGUUAUUUAUUCCUUCAGCAACAGUUAUUGAGCACAAGCUGUAUCUUGGCACUGUACUAAAUGCUUGGUGGUACAGGCAAUGUUGUGCUGGUAAAUAUUUAACAAUCGACUACCCAGGGGGGCAAAAAUCCCUGAUUUGCAGUGUUUGCUCAUUUCUGUGGCAUAUCUACUUGCAACAUGGCAGAUUUCAAACUACCAAUGUGAUAUCACUGAACAUGGGUGGGAAGAGGUAUGCAAUCAGCUCUUGUGAGCCAGCAUGAGCCAAGUCCACACACUACUGAUGAUGUACAGAUGAGCCAUAUAUGAUCUCUGUCUUAGGAAAGCUCCGUGAGGUUCUUAUAGUCUGGUGACGUAUAGUGUCUACCUCCCCUCUAGACCUACACAUGUCAACAGAGGAAAUAUGAUUUGUUCUCAGAGAACCCAUGUUGUUUCAUAAUUCCAGUGGACUCUUUUAGGUGCUUGUGAACCAUCUUUUCUACGUUUCAUUCAAAAUUAUUUCCAAAAGCAAUGCUGAAUUCAUUCACCUAUAGUUUAAGGAAUCUAUCUCCUUUCUUUUCAAAACUAGUACACUGUUUUGCCCAUUUCUAAUCUUUUAACAUGUUCACUAUUCUCCAUGACUCCUCAAAACUCUCCAUGAGCAGUUUGGAAAUCUCCUCCCUAAAUUCUCGAUAUCUUGUGUUGAAUUUCAUUCCAAUCCGAGAGUUCAGAGCUCAUACUGCCCCUUCACCCAUCGUGAGCUUUGAUUCCAAUCAGUGUUGAUUCUUCUCUUUUUGGAUUCAAACAGUUUUCUACUUGAUGAGAACCAUAGAAGGAGAAUAAAUAUUAGGAUCCUUUCUCCACGUUUCCAUGGGGGGCAAUCAUUGUUUGCUGACUAUGAUAGGCAGAAUAGGGCCUCCCAAAAAUGUCCACUUCCUAAUCUCUGGAUUAGGGGGGAUAUGUUAUGUUACACAUAAAUAUGUUAUAUGGCUAGGAGGAAUUAAGAUUGCACAUGGAGUUAAGAUUGCUAAACAGCAGAUCUUAAAAUAAGGAGAUUAUCCUGGAUUAUCUAGAUGAGCCCAAUGUAACUACAAAGGUCCUUUGAACGUGGAAGAGAGAGGCAGAGAAGAUUUAAAGAUGCUACAUUGCUGGCUUUGAAGAUUGAAGAAGGGACCCUGAGCCAAGGAAUGUGGGUGGCCCCUAGAAACUGGGAAAGGCAAGGAAACAGAUUCUCCUCCAGAGCCUCAGAAGGAAAACAGUCCAUCUGACACUUUGAUUUUAGCCCAGGGAGAUCCAUUUUGGACUUCUGACCUCCAGAACGGUAAGAAAACAACUUUGUGUUUUUAACCUACCAGCUUUGUGGUAGAUUCGUUACAGCAGCCAUAGAAAACUCAUACAUCAACCCAUUCCAGGCCUCCUUCUCCCUUGCCAUCUUCCACUACAGAGGCUGGAAAGUCCAAUACUUGCUAUGUCCACCAUUCUGUGCCCUUCUAAUCCAUUCCCCAAAACAUGAUGGUGACCUAGAUGCCACUUUCCCCAAAAUAUGGUAUUCUGGAAAUCCAGAGGACCUUGACUACUGAAGAAAGUGCGUUGGAUAUCGAGACACCCUUUGUCACCAUAGCCUGAUGGUAGUUUCUCCAGAAGCAGAGGGGAAGAUAAUGCUCUCCCUCUACAGUGUGAUGCUCAGCUGUAGUCACAUCCAAUGUGGGAGCUCUCCAGCUACAAAGCUCUGUCUUUAGGUGACACACACACACAGCCUCUUUUCUCAAGGCAUCUUCAUAGCACUAGAGUGCUAUAUCCAGACGAGUUUCCAAACUUGGCCAUCCAUUCUACCUAGAAGCACCUUUCUCUACAAUCUCAGUCUCCCAGCUCCUAAGAGCAGAAAUCUCACCUCAUCCUAAUCCCAAGACCCACUGCAUCUUCUGGCUCAAAAUGAGUGUUAUUUCUUUCAGGGGGAAAAAAAUCCCCACCUUAUUACAAUAAAAGUGCAUUUUUUCUUCUUAAUCCCCCUGAGGAAAUUAUUCCAUUAGUAUGUGGUCUAUGUGUCUCAUUAAUUUAACUUCAUUUUUUCAUCAGUAUUGCUUCUCCACUCUUGCUUCUUUAACUGCCUCCUCUGUCCUCCGUGAAACCAUCAGCAAAACGCAGCAAGGAUUUUGCCACAUACAGUCAUGUCUUGCUUAAUGAGAGGGAUGUGUUCUGAGAAAUACGUCGUUAGGUGAUUUCAUCAUUGUGCAAACAUCCUAGAGUGUACUUACACAAACCUAGAUGGUAUGGCCUACCACAAACCUAGGCUAUAUGGUACUAAUCUUAUGGGGCCACCAUUAUAUAUGUGGUCCAUUGUUGACCAAAACAUCGUUAUGAGGUGCAUGACUGUACUCGGGUCCUACAUGAACCAGAAUUUCAGGGCAGGGUGGAGAGUGUAUGUACUGCCAUAUCUUGCCCUUUCCUUCCCUUCAGCUGGAUGGAUAGCCUGAAUUUCUUUCCCACAACCACAGUACUUGUUUCUUUCUCCCUUUUUAUCCUUACCUACUUGCCCUCCAUUGAGUCUCUAGCCUAAGGUAAUUGAUUCCUUAGUAGCUCUGUUCUCUUUCAUCUCCAUGUUUUGUUCUUAAGUUUCAUGUCCUAGAGUCUCUGGACCUGUGUUCACUCAGUUUAUUACUCAUGCUCUGUACUCAGGUACCCUCCAUUUAUCACUCAGCAAUGUUCUACAUGCCGUGGGAAAUCAAAGAUGCUUCAUGUGACAUGAAUCCUGCCUCAAAGUUCACAGUGCAGUGGGCAGAUUCCUAGAUAACUAUGCGGUGAGGUAGGAAGUGGUAUGUGCUUUAAGAGAAGAGUUGAUAAGAUACAAUGGGAGCUCAGAGAUGGGCAGGAGGUCCCUUCCAAUUUGAAGCGAGGCCUCAAGCUAGGCCUUGAAAAAUAUGAACGAUUUAGAGAUGUGCAGAAGAGGGGAGACGGCAUUGCAGGCAGAGAAGGCUCUACGUGAGCAAACAGUUCAGAGGUAUGAUAAGGCUGGGCAUACCAGUGAAGAAGAAUGAAGUUCAGUUGGAUAAAGCAUGGCGUGGUGUGUGGAAGAAUGGGAGAUAAGACUAGCAGUGUAGGUGGGGCCAGACCU